ACGUCAACAUUCACGUUCAGGGUUUUGUCAAAGAUCGCGGAAGUUGCCGCUUAAAACUCCAUCGCUGCAAAUUUUUGCCAUUUCUGAGGUCUUGUUGUAGCCUAGACAGUAAAACCAGACGUUUUAGUACACAACUGCUGCCCUACAUUCAGCAGAUGGUCCGUAAAACUGGAUACAAGGUGCAUAUACGGACCGCCCCUCGACUUCCGCUUCAACAGGUCAAAGUGCAACCUGUCGUUUCCGCCACAACAGAACCAAAACAUGUCUGUUUUCCCUGGUUCUGAGUAAAGACGUUUGUUGAAAUAACCGGGUAAGAAUGCGGUUAUGUUUAAAACCUUGCGUCAAGAGAUCAACGAUGUGACUCCAGAUCCCUGUACUAUGUUGAUUUUAACUUGAGGUACAUUGCACAAGUCUGGCAGUUUCCUGGACACUCCACAGCGGAGACAGGUGGCUUUCUUCACAUGGAGAGAUUAGGAGAUGGCUGGACAUUACUGAUGAUGUAACCAGUAACCAAGGAGACCUUUUCGCUGCAAUUGGGAUGUAACAGUGCCUUCAGCUUUAUCAUUGAAAGCCUCCGCUAGGAAUUUUAACCAGUGACAGCAAAGAAGGGUACAAGUUUUGUUGUCAGAGUUAUGAUUCCAUGAACAGGAGGAAGACUGCGCCGGCCAUCCCCGAUUCCAUCCGCCGUCGUUACCAAGACACGAGUCAGCAGAUAUGGCAGGAACAGCAGAGCCUGGUGCUGCCCAGGAACUACCUGGAGAGAACUUACACAGCCAGGUACAAUGCUUAUGGGAACAGCCAGACUGUCAUUGUCAAGGACGCAAAGAACGUGCUGAAAACAGACGGACAGUCCGAGACUGUUCGGUCAGCACUGUGUGUGGUGAUGUGAGGACUUGUAUUAUACACAUGUACAGCUGAGUCAGAGAUAGUGGAAGAAAUGGUAUUACAUUGUAUAUGUAGAAUAUUAUUAUUGCAGUUGUACAUGUAGGAUGAGAUAUUGCAGUUGUCUUCGAAUGUGCUAUUGCACUGCUUGUUCACAUACUGUGUUGAAUUGGAAAAGUUGUUCAUUCAUGAUUAAACUGUUAAGAAAAAUAUUGCCACAUUCAACAUUCCAAGUUGGUACCCAUAAAAUAGACUGUUUCCUGUAAGAGUUUACUCUGGGUGAAAUGUCCUUUUUAAAAAAAAUCCCCUGGCCCCCAGCUGGCUGGUUUGUGUGUUAUGUGUCUGUGUAUCUUUAAUAAGUGUAUUUACCAAGUUAUGUCAUGUUUAUUUGAUGCAUAGAUGAGCCAGUUGUAGGAACUCUAACAGUGUGAGUUGCAUGAAUUUGAACCCUAACAGGCUGAAGGUUAACCCAUUACCAUUCAAA